rnacentral:rRNA from 1 species
AGCGAACGCUGGCGGCAGGCUUAACACAUGCAAGUCGAGCGGGCGUAUCAAUACGUCAGCGGCAGACGGGUGAGUAACGCGUGGGAACAUACCUUUUGGUUCGGAACAMCACAGGGAAACUUGUGCUAAUACCGGAUAAGCCCUUACGGGGAAAGAUUUAUCGCCGAAAGAUUGGCCCGCGUCUGAUUAGCUAGUUGGUAGGGUAAUGGCCUACCAAGGCGACGAUCAGUAGCUGGUCUGAGAGGAUGAUCAGCCACAUUGGGACUGAGACACGGCCCAAACUCCUACGGGAGGCAGCAGUGGGGAAUAUUGGACAAUGGGGGCAACCCUGAUCCAGCCAUGCCGCGUGAGUGAUGAAGGCCUUAGGGUUGUAAAGCUCUUUURUCCGGGAUGAUAAUGACGGU